CUACGGGUUGCUGCAGUGGGGGAUAUUGCACAAUGGAGGAAACUCUGAUGCAGCAACGCCGCGUGAGGGAAGAAGGUUUUCGGAUUGUAAACCUCUGUCCUUGGUGAAGAAACAAAUGACGGUAGCCAAGGAGGAAGCCACGGCUAACUACGUGCCAGCAGCCGCGGUAAUACGUAGGUGGCAAGCGUUGUCCGGAUUUACUGGGUGUAAAGGGUGCGCAGGCGGGACUGCAAGUUGGAUGUGAAAUACCGAGGCUUAACUUCGGGGCUGCAUCCAAAACUGUGGUUCUUGAGAGAUGUAGAGGUAAGCGGAAUUCCGAGUGUAGCGGUGAAAUGCGUAGAUAUUCGGAGGAACACCAGUGGCGAAGGCGGCUUACUGGGCAUUUUCUGACGCUGAGGCACGAAAGUGUGGGGAGCAAACAGGAUUAGAUACCCGGGUAGUC
rnacentral:rRNA from 1 species